UAACACAAUAGUGAGAACUGCGUUCCCGGACCUGGGCUGUCUUGCUGCUGUUUCUAUUAUGAGGGAAAUCGUGGUGUCAGGUCUUCACUGUGUCUAUUUUUUUCCGGGGAAAGAACAGUGUUCUGCCGUGCCGAUUUCCCCUCCUCAUCUUAAAGAAUGCACAUUUCUUCUUUCUUCACCCUGAGGCCUGCUGUUGACAUUUUCUUCGGCAGCAAGUAUUACAUGCCUAAUACCCCUGAUUCAACUGCAAACUCCUUGAAGACACCAUUAAAAUAAUAAAAAGGAAGCCAAGGAUUGGGAGAAAAUAUUUGCAAAAACACAUGUCUGGUAAAGGACUUAUAUCCAAAAUGUACAAAGAACUCUUAAAGCUCAACAACAACAACAAUAUAAAAACAAUUAAAAAUGAGCAAAAGACCUGAACAUACACCUCUCCAAAGAAGAUAUGCAGAUGGCACAUAAAGCAUAUGAAAAGAUGCUCAAAAUUAUAUGUCGUUAGGGAAUUACAAAUUGAAACAAUGAGCUACUACUAUAUUCCUAUAAAGAGUGGCUAAAACUCAAAAUACAGACAACACCAAAUACUGCUGAAAAUGUAGGAUAAUGGUAAGUCUCAUCAUUGUAGAGAAUUGUACAGAUACUUUGUAAGACAGUUUGGCAGUUUCUUGACCCAUCAAAUCAUAUUCCUAGGUAUUUACCUAAAUAUGUCCACACAAAAAUUUGCAUUCAAGUGUUUAUAUAUAUUUGUAGAAAACUAGAAGCAACAAACAUGUGCUUCAACAGGUGAAUAGAUACAUAUGGUGCAUCUAUACAAUGGAAUAUUAUUAAAUGAUAAAAAAAAAUGAGCUAUGAAGCUAUAAAAAGACCCAGAGGAAACUUAAAUGCACUAAGUGAAAGAAGCCAGCCUGAAAAGGCCAUAUACUGUAUGAGUUCACCAGAAUGACAUUCUGGAAAAGAUAAAACUAUAGAGGCAGUAAAAUGAUCAUUAGUUGCCAGAGGUCAGGGUGGAGAGAGGGAGGAAUGAGUAAGAGGAGCAAAGGGGAUUUUUAGGGCAGUGAAACUAUUCUGUAUGAUACUAUAAUAGUGGAUCAUGACAUUAUGCAUUUGUCAAAACCCAUAGAACUAUACACACAAAGAACGAACCUUAAUAUAAACUAUGGACUUCAGUUAAUAACGUUUCAGUAUUGGUUCAUUAAUUGUAACAAAUGUACCACACUAAAGCAACAUAAUAGGAGAAGCUAAGGGGAGAGA